GACGAACGCUGGCGGCGUGCCUAAUACAUGCAAGUCGAGCGAGCAGAACCAGCAGAUUUACUUCGGUAAUGACGCUGGGGACGCGAGCGGCGGAUGGGUGAGUAACACGUGGGGAACCUGCCCCAUAGUCUGGGAUACCACUUGGAAACAGGUGCUAAUACCGGAUAAGAAAGCAGAUCGCAUGAUCAGCUUAUAAAAGGCGGCGUAAGUGUCGCUAUGGGAUGGCCCCGCGGUGCAUUAGCUAGUUGGUAAGGUAACGGCUUACCAAGGCGAUGAUGCAUAGCCGAGUUGAGAGACUGAUCGGCCACAUUGGGACUGAGACACGGCCCAAACUCCUACGGGAGGCAGCAGUAGGGAAUCUUCCACAAUGGACGCAAGUCUGAUGGAGCAACCCGCGUGAGUGAAGAAGGUUUUCGGAUCGUAAAGCUCUGUUGUUGGUGAAGAAGGAUAGAGGUAGUAACUGGCCUUUAUUUGACGGUAAUCAACCAGAAAGUCACGGCUAACUACGUGCCAGCAGCCGCGGUAAUACGUAGGUGGCAAGCGUUGUCCGGAUUUAUUGGGCGUAAAGCGAGCGCAGGCGGAAAAAUAAGUCUGAUGUGAAAGCCCUCGGCUUAACCGAGGAACUGCAUCGGAAACUGUUUUUCUUGAGUGCAGAAGAGGAGAGUGGAACUCCAUGUGUAGCGGUGGAAUGCGUAGAUAUAUGGAAGAACACCAGUGGCGAAGGCGGCUCUCUGGUCUGCAACUGACGCUGAGGCUCGAAAGCAUGGGUAGCGAACAGGAUUAGAUACCCUGGUAGUCCAUGCCGUAAACGAUGAGUGCUAAGUGUUGGGAGGUUUCCGCCUCUCAGUGCUGCAGCUAACGCAUUAAGCACUCCGCCUGGGGAGUACGACCGCAAGGUUGAAACUCAAAGGAAUUGACGGGGGCCCGCACAAGCGGUGGAGCAUGUGGUUUAAUUCGAAGCAACGCGAAGAACCUUACCAGGUCUUGACAUCUAGUGCCAUCCUAAGAGAUUAGGAGUUCCCUUCGGGGACGCUAAGACAGGUGGUGCAUGGCUGUCGUCAGCUCGUGUCGUGAGAUGUUGGGUUAAGUCCCGCAACGAGCGCAACCCUUGUUAUUAGUUGCCAGCAUUAAGUUGGGCACUCUAAUGAGACUGCCGGUGACAAACCGGAGGAAGGUGGGGAUGACGUCAAGUCAUCAUGCCCCUUAUGACCUGGGCUACACACGUGCUACAAUGGGCAGUACAACGAGAAGCGAGCCUGCGAAGGCAAGCGAAUCUCUGAAAGCUGUUCUCAGUUCGGACUGCAGUCUGCAACUCGACUGCACGAAGCUGGAAUCGCUAGUAAUCGCGGAUCAGCACGCCGCGGUGAAUACGUUCCCGGGCCUUGUACACACCGCCCGUCACACCAUGGAAGUCUGCAAUGCCCAAAGCCGGUGGCCUAACCUCCGGGAAGGAGCCGUCUAAGGCAGGGCAGAUGACUGGGGUG
rnacentral:rRNA from 1 species